CGCGUCACUUCCGGUAGCGCGGAGCUUGUAAAACACCCUGGAGAGAAAAUGGCGGCGGCAGCGGCUUCGGCUCCUCAGCAGCUCUCGGAUGAGGAGCUUUUCUCUCAGCUCCGCCGUUACGGCCUGUCUCCUGGCCCAGUGACGGAGAGCACCCGCCCGGUCUACCUCAAGAAGCUGAAGAAGCUUCGAGAGGAAGAGCAGCAGCAGCACCGGUCUGGGGGCCGCGGCAACAAGACGCGGAACAGUAAUAACAAUAACACCGCAGCCGCCGCGGUUGCGGCGGCGGGACCGGCGGCGGCCGCCCCAGGGCUGGGGGUCCGGCCAGUCUCGGGCGAUCUCUCCUACUUGCGGACUCCUGGGGGCCUGGGCCGAAUCUCGGCCUCGGGCCCGGAGAGCUCCUUGGGAGGGCCCGGGGGCACCUCGGCCGCCCCCACGGCUGGCAGCAAAGUGCUGCUGGGCUUCAGCUCGGACGAGUCGGACGUGGAGGCCAGUCCCCGGGACCAGGCCGGCGGCGGCGGUGGGAGGAAAGAUCGGGCUUCGCUCCAGUACCGCGGGCUCAAACCGCUGUCGGCGCCCCUGGCCGCCAGCGAGGUGACUAACAGCAACUCGGCCGAACGCAGGAAGCCCCACUCGUGGUGGGGGGCCAGGCGGCCGGCGGCUGCGGAGCUGCAGACCCCGUCGGCGAGAGAUGGAGCCGCGGAGGACGAGGAGGAGGAGGGGGAAGACGGAGAGGACAGGGACCCAGAGGCCGAGGAGCCGCUGUGGGCGAGCCGGACCGUGAACGGCAGCCGGCUUCUCUCCUACAGCUGCCGGGAGAACUAUUCGGACUCGGAGGAAGAGGAGGACGACGACGUGGCCUCCAGCAGACAGGUAUUAAAGGACGACUCCCUUUCCCGGCAUCGGCCCAGGCGGAGCCACAGUAAGCCUCUCUCUUCGCUGACUGCUAAAUCUGCCGGCGGCCGGCUGGAGACCUCAGUUCAGGGAGGGGGAGGAAUCCAGAUGAAUGACAGGGCGGCGGCUGCGGGGAGUCUAGACAGGAGCCGAAACCUCGAAGAGUCGGCGGCGGCGGCGGCGGCGGAGCAGGGAGGAGGGUGUGAUCCCCUGGACUCCAGCCCCAUUCCUAGGUACCGUGUCAACGCUAAGAAGCUGGCCCCUCUCCUGUCCCCGCCACUGACUGACAUGGACUCAACCUUGGAUUCGUCCACAGGCUCCCUUCUUAAAACCAAUAAUCAUAUCGGCAGUGGGGCCUUCGGUGCGGACUCCCCCAGGAUUUUUUCCAACAGCCUCCCUCCCGGUGCGUCGGUGGCUGCCUCUAGUUCACUCAGGAUCAAUCACUCCAAUCAUACGGGCGCCAAUCAUACCUAUCUGAAAAACACAUACAACAAACCGAAGCUUUCCGAACCCGAGGAGGAACUUCUCCAGCAAUUUAAACGGGAGGAGGUGUCCCCUGCAGGGGGUUUCAGUGCCCACUACUUGUCGAUGUUUCUCUUAACUGCUGCCUGCUUAUUUUUCCUAAUAUUGGGACUGACUUACCUAGGAAUGAGAGGGACAGGAGUAUCCGAGGAUGGAGGGCUCAGCAUAAAGAACCCAUUUGAUGGAACAUUUGGAAAAAUACAAGAAAGUAAGAAAAAUCUUCUGAUGAACACUUUAUAUAAGCUUCAUGAUCGAUUGGCACAGCUUGCAGGAGAUCAUGAAUGUGGCAGUUCUAGUCAGAGAACACUUUCUGUCCAAGAGGCAGCUGCAUAUUUAAAAGAUUUAGGCCCUGAAUAUGAAGAUAUAUUUAAUAUUUCCUUGAAGUGGAUUUUAGAAAAUGGAAAAGAUGUUGGAAUAAGGUGUGUUGGUUAUGGCCCUGAGGAACAACUGACAAAUAUAACCCAUGUGCAGUUUUUACAGUCCACAAGACCACAGAUGUCUUUCUGGUGUCGUUUUCGACGUGCUUUUAUUACUGUCACCCACAGGUUAUUGUUGUUAUGCUUGGGUGUAGUGAUGGUUUGUGUCGUUCUGCGUUAUAUGAAAUACCGCUGGACAAAAGAAGAAGAGGAAACAAGGCAGAUGUAUGAUAUGGUGGUGAAGAUUAUAGAUGUUUUACGAAGUCACAAUGAAGCUUGCCAGGAAAAUAAAGACUUACAACCUUACAUGCCUAUUCCACAUGUACAAGAUUCCUUAAUACAACCUCACGACAAGAAAAAAAUGAAGAAAGUCUGGGAUAGAGCUGUUGACUUCCUUGCUGCUAAUGAAUCUAGAGUUCGCACAGAGACACGAAGAAUAGGUGGUACAGAUUUUCUAGUUUGGCGGUGGAUCCAGCCUUCUGCCUCCUGUGACAAAAUAUUAGUAAUACCUUCUAAAGUAUGGCAAGGUCAAGCAUUUCAUUUAGAUAGAAGAAAUUCACCGCCAAAUAGCUUGACACCAUGUCUAAAGAUUCGAAAUAUGUUUGACCCAGUUAUGGAAAUAGGGGAUCAGUGGCAUUUGGCAAUUCAAGAAGCAAUUUUAGAAAAAUGCAGUGAUAAUGAUGGCAUUGUUCAUAUUGCAGUAGACAAAAAUUCACGUGAGGGUUGUGUAUAUGUUAAAUGUCUGUCUCCAGAAUAUGCUGGAAAAGCUUUUAAGGCAUUGCAUGGCUCUUGGUUUGAUGACUUAUCUCGGCAAGUCACUUCUUCCAGAUGACUCAACAGAGGAUGCUAAAUCAAGCAAAAUUUGGGCAGCUGCUCUUUUGGAAAGGAUGCUGAGGAACAGGAGUUUAUUCUGAAGAAAUCAGAAGUGAUACAAAGAGAUAUGAAAAUGAUAUUCAUUACAGCUCUAUACUGUGAUACAAACGAGAAGCAAUUGAAUUCUACAAAAGUGAGAGUAAUGGAUUUUGGAUUAAUGUCUUUGGAGAAUAAGGAGUCUUAGAAGUUAAUUUUAUGCAGUAUACAUAUGGUAACAGAUUGGUGUACAUCCUUGGAAGAUCCCAGGAGCAACCAAGAUGAGUGAAGAGCAGACAGUGACUGAGCAGGAGAGACUGCUUCUGUGAGCAGUCCUGUGGGUUGAUUCCUCUCCUUACAUUUGAAGAACUAGCCACGAGCCUUGUAUGUACACUCAUUCUUUUAUUCAUCAUUGUAAAUAAUAUAUAGUUCCACAUUUAAAUAAAGCCACAUUUUCAAAAUUACAAUGUGUCAUAUCUCAAUAAUAGUCUAAUUAUAUACAAAAGUACCAUUUUCAUUUUCCAUUAUGCUUUGAUAACAUGGAAAAAGUCAAAAUCACUUUUCUUGGUUUUCCUUAAGGGCAGCUGAAUAUACCUAAAAUGCUAUUUCAUUAUAAAACAGAGCCUUAUCAUAAUUGGAGAUUGGUGGGAUAAAUAUUGCCCAUGUAACUGAUAGGUUUAGAGAAAUAUGCUAUUUUCAUUAUGUUCAGGAAAAAAAAUAAGUACUUCUAAUACAGUAGUUCAUAUUCUAGUAUUAGAUUAGUACAAAAAUUCCUGUUUGGCUGGAGUAAUUUUUAAAGCUAGGUCUUAAUGAAUUUAGUUACUUCAAUUACCUAGGAUUUAUAAUCUGAUUUUAAAAUAACCAGUUUUCAAAGAAUACAAUAAAAUAUUCAUAGUGCUAAAACUCUGGGGAGCUUAAUUUAAUCACUGAUGACUCAGGAGGAAAGUCAGAAUCUUGCAGUGCCUCAUUUCAUAAUGAACCUCAUCUAAUGUAGGGUAAAGUGAAAAUUCUAGUUAUUUGAAUUUCCUAUUGAAUUAUGUGUAAACAUACAUAUUUUGUAAAGGUCAUGAAAGCUUUGUUAUAUAUGCUUGCAUGUAUUUUCCUAUAAUCCUGUUUACCUCUGUUAUGGGCAUUACAGAAAAGAGAGUUUGAAACUUACUCUCCUUGAUUAGAAAGCAGACAUGAAAAAUUACUCUGGUCACUCUAGACCUGAAUUUCUUAAAGAAGGACAUGUGGACCACCUCUUCUAGAAUCAUCUGGGGUACUUGUUAGAAAUGCAGAUUCCUGACUUCUUCACCAAGCCUGCUGAAUCACUGUAUCUGGAGAAGAUCCCAGGAUAGUAACAGGCUCUCCAGGUAACUCUGACAAAAGUUUGAGACUCGUUGCCAGAUGGCUUAUGGAUCGGAGCUCUCAACCUCGGGUAGGCAGCACCAAAAUCAUUCCUCCUGUGGAUGUUGAUACAGGAAAAAAGUGACAAAGAUUGAAAUGGGUGUGUUACUUCCCACAGAGUAUGAGAACAGGAAAUAAUAUGUUCUGCCGUCGUCAGACCAAAGGAAUUUUAGAGGCAAAGCUGGAAAUAGUUCAGAGCUGUUUCAUUCAUAUUUAUAACAUCAUUGCUUACUUAAGGUUUAGAUUUCCUGAUGUGUUUUUCUUUAUUGAUAUGAAGUAACCUAAAGUUACCUAAAGCUGAGCACCAUUUGAUUCAUUUGGAAGGUGUUUUUAUUAUUUUAAUGUUUUGCUUUUACCCCAAGCACUAUAGCAAAUGUCUCUUUGGGGUUUCUUUCCCCUGAAUAUUUUGAGUUUUCAGAGCUUUGGUUGUGAUAUAAUAUGUAUUUUCAUUAAUGUAAGCCAAUUUUACUUGUAGUUCUAGUUGUUAUUGUUACUACUGGGAGCAGAAUAUAGAAGAAACUUUUCUUUAGAGGGAAUAUUUUCUUUUUUUUUCAUUUUGUGCCACUGUGGGAAGAUAAAUGGAUGAUAGUUUUAUUUGGUCCAUUUGUUUUUCCUAUGAGAGUUGAAACAUGCACAGAUUCACCACCUCCCUCCCUACCCCUUCAACAAUAUGCUUUCCAUCCUCCCACCCCCAUCUGAAGGGUCAGUCAACAGUGAUUAUUAAGCACUCAUUACACUAUAGGAAGUUGCAAAAGAAGACUCUACUCUCCUUUCCUGUAUUCUGUUACUGCUGAGAAUUCAGUCUGUAUCCAAGUCUUGCUCCAUAGCUCAAUAUCCACUUUUGCCCAGUGGCAGCUUUCACUAAGCCACAGGUCAAUCAUGAAGACCGGCCUUAGAUUUCAUCCACCUGUCUUCUCCAAAAUGCUCCUCAGCCACGUGUACUGCAGGCCUUCUGGUU